CUCCAAUAGCGUAUAUUAAAGUUGUUGCAGUUAAAAAGCUCGUAGUUGGAUUUCUGUUAAUAAUUUAUAUAAAAUAUUUUGAUGAAUAUUUAUAUAAUAUUAACAUAAUUCAUAUUACUAUUUUUUUUUUUAGUAUAUGAAAUUUUACUUUGAGAAAAUUAGAGUGCUUAAAGCAGGCAUAUGCCUUGAAUACUCCAGCAUGGAAUAAUAUUAAAGAUUUUUAUCUUUUUUAUUGGUUCUAAGAUAAGAAUAAUGAUUAAUAGGGACAGUUGGGGGCAUUUGUAUUUAACAGUCAGAGGUGAAAUUCUUAGAUUUGUUAAAGACAAACUAAUGCGAAAGCAUUUGCCAAGGAUGUUUUCAUUAAUCAAGAACGAAAGUUAGGGGAUCGAAGACGAUCAGAUACCGUCGUAGU
rnacentral:rRNA from 1 species